rnacentral:rRNA from 1 species
GACGGAGGGUGCUAGCGUUGUUCGGAAUUACUGGGCGUAAAGGGCGCGUAGGCGGCUACUUAAGUCGGGUGUGAAAGCCCGGGGCUCAACCCCGGAACUGCAUCCGAGACUGGGUGGCUGGAGAUCGGGAGAGGAGAGUGGAAUACCCAGUGUAGAGGUGAAAUUCGUAGAUAUUGGGUGGAACACCGGUGGCGAAAGCGGCUCUCUGGCCCGAUUCUGACGCUGAGGCGCGAAAGCGUGGGGAGCAAACAGG